rnacentral:rRNA from 1 species
AACGUAGGGGGCGAGCGUUAUCCGGAAUUAUUGGGCGUAAAGAGCACGUAGGUGGCGUUAAAAGUUGGGCGUGAAAGCUCUCGGCUUAACUGAGAGAGGUCGUUCAAAACUAUAAUGCUUGAGGUUGAUAGAGGAGAGUAGAAUUCCCGGUGUAGUGGUGGAAUGCGUAGAUAUCGGGAGGAAUACCAGUGGCGAAAGCGGCUCUCUGGAUCACACCUGACACUGAGGUGCGAAAGCGUGGGUAGCAAACAGGAUUAGAUACCCUGGUAGUCCACGCUGUAAACGAUGGAUACUAGGUGUGGGAGGUUAUUUACCCCUUCUGUGCCGGAGCAAACGCGUUAAGUAUCCCGCCUGGGGACUACGGCCGCAAGGCUAAA